rnacentral:rRNA from 1 species
UAGGUAGGAGCCUUAGAAGCGUGAGCGCUAGCUUACGUGGAGGCAUUGGUGGGAUACUACCCUAAUUGUAUUGGAUUUCUAACCCGCAACUCUUAUCGAGUUGGGAGACAGUGUCAGGCGGGCAGUUUGACUGGGGCGGUCGCCUCCUAAAGAGUAACGGAGGCGCUCAAAGGUUCCCUCAGAAUGGUUGGAAAUCAUUCAUAGAGUGUAAAGGCAUAAGGGAGCUUGACUGCGAGACCUACAAGUCGAGCAGGGUCGAAAGACGGACUUAGUGAUCCGGUGGUUCCGCAUGGAAGGGCCAUCGCUCAACGGAUAAAAGCUACCCCGGGGAUAACAGGCUUAUCUCCCCCAAGAGUUCACAUCGACGGGGAGGUUUGGCACCUCGAUGUCGGCUCAUCGCAUCCUGGGGCUGUAGUCGGUCCCAAGGGUUGGGCUGUUCGCCCAUUAAAGCGGUACGCGAGCUGGGUUCAGAACGUCGUGAGACAGUUCGGUCCCUAUCCGUCGUGGGCGUAGGAAAUUUGAGAGGAGCUGUCCUUAGUACGAGAGGACCGGGAUGGACAUACCUCUGGUGUACCAGUUGUCGUGCCAACGGCAUAGCUGGGUAGCUAUGUAUGGACGGGAUAAGUGCUGAAAGCAUCUAAGCAUGAAGCCCCCCUCAAGAUGAGAUUUCCCAACUUCGGUUAUAAGAUCCCUCAAAGAUGAUGAGGUUAAUAGGUUCGAGGUGGAAGCGUAGCGAUACGUGGAGCUGACGAAUACUAAUCGAUCGAAGACUUAAUCAAUUU